UGAGGAAUAUUGGUCAAUGGGCGAGAGCCUGAACCAGCCAAGUCGCGUGAAGGAUGACUGCCCUAUGGGUUGUAAACUUCUUUUUUAGGGGAAUAAAGUGAGUCACGUGUGACUUUUUGUAUGUACCCUACGAAUAAGCAUCGGCUAACUCCGUGCCAGCAGCCGCGGUAAUACGGAGGAUGCGAGCGUUAUCCGGAUUUAUUGGGUUUAAAGGGUGCGUAGGCCGACUUUUAAGUCAGCGGUGAAAUUUUCCGGCUUAACCGGGACCUUGCCGUUGAAACUGAUAGUCUUGAGUGUAAAUGAGGUAGGCGGAAUGUGUGGUGUAGCGGUGAAAUGCUUAGAUAUCACACAGAACUCCGAUUGCGAAGGCAGCUUACUGGCAUACAACUGACGCUGAGGCACGAAAGUGUGGGUAUCAAACA
rnacentral:rRNA from 2 species